rnacentral:tRNA from 1 species
GGAGAAAUGCCAGAGUGGUUGAAUGGGACGGUCUCGAAAACCGUUAUACGUCUUGCGUAUCGAGGGUUCGAAUCCCUCUUUCUCCG